GUGGGAUCUUCGUUGCUGGCAUGAGAACUCUUAGUUGCAGCAUGUGGGAUCUAGUUCCUUGACCAAGGAUGGAACCUAGGCCCCCUGCACUGGGGACGCGAAGGAAGUCUUAGCCAUCGGAUCACCAGGGAAGCCUCUCCCUUUUCUCUUUACCGGUCUCUUCUUUGCUUCUCUCCAGCCCAUGGCCCAGGGUAAGGGCACUUCCCCCGGGGGAGGGGUGGCCAGCAGGCAGGCUUUCUUUCCCAGUCAGUGAGGUGGACGUGCACAGGCACACGCGCUCCUCCACGUGCAAACACCUUCAAGUGGUGCCACUUAACACAGCUGUUCACGCUCUGGACUGAGACACUCUGCACACCCGAAAGGCACACAUAUGCCUCCACGGGGGUCGCCUGUGCUCUCCGCAGUCACCCCCCGCCCCCGCACACAAACCCUGGCACAAACACAAGUCACACGGCUCCUUGCCUGGCCUCAGCCCUUGGUGUCCCCCAAACUGGCCUAACUGGUGUCCUGAGCCAGGACAGCUGAAUGACCAGCCCUGGCCCGGGAUCCAGGGGUGGGAUCAAGAAGAUAGACAGGUGCACGGCGGUCAUCAGUACGGGCACAGCUUUGUCCACCCAGGACUCCUGCCACUGGGUCCCUGAACGCCCCUCCCUGAGCAGGCGAUCAGAGAGUUUCAGCUCCGGGGAGUUUGUCUGACAUGCAGUCACACACGUGGACACACACAUAUAUCCUGGCACACGGUAUGCACAGGCACCCAGGGAUCCCAGGGACAAUUAUAAUGAUAUAUUAUUAAAGGCCUUACAUAAACUCGAUGACUGAAUGGGACGAUCGGGAGAUGCAAGAAACCUAAGUGAACGGAAAGGGAGCUCGUCUAGCCUGAGGCUUUCCUGCCUCCGAGAGACUGAGGAUGUCAUCUGGAACUGGGUUCCUUUGCCAACAGAACCUACAUUUGUGAAUCUGCACAGAAGGGCUCAGAAGACUGGAGCUGGUAAACUUUUCAGGGUGGUGAUUCCAGCAGGAAGGCAAUGCUAG
rnacentral:lncRNA from 1 species